UGAUUGUGUACACCUUUUGGGUGAUAGAUGGUAAGUUGCAUGAAAGACACUGGGAAAUGGCACACCCUCUACAGCAGAGGUGCCUAACCCU